GAUGAACGCUGGCGGCGUGCCUAAUACAUGCAAGUCGAGCGAACAGACGAGGAGCUUGCUCCUCUGACGUUAGCGGCGGACGGGUGCGUAACACGUGGAUAACCUCCCUAUAAGACUGGGAUAACUUCGGGAAACCGGAGCUAAUACCGGAUAAUAUAUUGAACCGCAUGGUUCAAUAGUGAAAGACGGUUUUGCUGUCACUUAUAGAUGGAUCCGCGCCGCAUUAGCUAGUUGGUAAGGUAACGGCUUACCAAGGCAACGAUGCGUAGCCGACCUCAGAGGGUGAUCGGCGACACUGGAACUGAGACACGGUCCAGACUCCUACGGGAGGCAGCAGUAGGGAAUCUUCCGCAAUGGGCGAAAGCUUGACGGAGCAACGCCGCGUGAGUGAUGAAGGUCUUCGGAUCGUAAAACUCUGUUAUUAGGGAAGAACAAAUGUGUAAGUAGCUAUGCACGUCUUGACGGUACCUAAUCAGAAAGCCACGGCUAACUACGUG
rnacentral:rRNA from 1 species